GACAGAGGGUGCAAACGUUGUUCGGAAUUACUGGGCGUAAAGCGUGUGUAGGCGGUCCACUAAGUCGGGUGUGAAAGCCCUGGGCUCAACCCAGGAAGUGCACUCGAAACUGGCGGGCUAGAGUAUCGGAGAGGUUGGUGGAAUUCUCGGUGUAGAGGUGAAAUUCGUAGAUAUCGAGAGGAACACCGGUGGCGAAGACGGCCAACUGGACGAAUACUGACGCUGAGACACGAAAGCGUGGGGAGCAAACAGG
rnacentral:rRNA from 1 species